rnacentral:rRNA from 1 species
GCGCACGGGUGAGUAACACGUAUGCAAUCCACCUGUAACAGGGGGAUAACCCGGAGAAAUCCGGACUAAUACCCCAUGAUAUGGGCGCUCCGCAUGGAGGGCCCAUUAAAGAGAGCAAUCUUGGUUACAGACGAGCAUGCGCUCCAUUAGCCAGUUGGCGGGGUAACGGCCCACCAAGGCGACGAUGGAUAGGGGUUCUGAGAGGAAGGUCCCCCACAUUGGAACUGAGACACGGUCCAAACUCCUACGGGAGGCAGCAGUGAGGAAUAUUGGUCAAUGGUCGGCAGACUGAACCAGCCAAGUCGCGUGAGGGAAGACGGCCCUACGGGUUGUAAACCUCUUUUGUCGGAGAGUAAAGUACGCUACGUGUAGCGUAUUGCAAGUAUCCGAAGAAAAAGCAUCGGCUAACUCCGUGCCAGCAGCCGCGGUAAUACGGAGGAUGCGAGCGUUAUCCGGAUUUAUUGGGUUUAAAGGGUGCGUAGGCGGCACGCCAAGUCAGCGGUGAAAUUUUCGGGCUCAACCCGGACUGUGCCGUUGAAACUGGCGAGCUAGAGUGCACAAGAGGCAGGCGGAAUGCGUGGUGUAACGGUGAAAUGCAUAGAUA